UAAUACGUGAGUAACCUGCCCUUGACUCUGGGAUAAGCCUGGGAAACUGGGUCUAAUACUGGAUACGACGGCGCAUCGCAUGGUGUGUUGUGGAAAGGGUUUUACUGGUUUUGGAUGGGCUCACGGCCUAUCAGCUUGUUGGUGGGGUAAUGGCUCACCAAGGCGACGACGGGUAGCCGGCCUGAGAGGGUGACCGGCCACACUGGGACUGAGACACGGCCCAGACUCCUACGGGAGGCAGCAGUGGGGAAUAUUGCACAAUGGGCGGAAGCCUGAUGCAGCGACGCCGCGUGAGGGAUGACGGCCUUCGGGUUGUAAACCUCUUUCAGCACGGAAGAAGCGAGAGUGACGGUACGUGCAGAAGAAGCGCCGGCUAACUACGUGCCAGCAGCCGCGGUAAUACGUAGGGCGCAAGCGUUGUCCGGAAUUAUUGGGCGUAAAGAGCUCGUAGGCGGUUUGUCGCGUCUGCUGUGAAAGCCCGGGGCUUAACCCCGGGUGUGCAGUGGGUACGGGCAGACUUGAGUGCAGUAGGGGAGACUGGAAUUCCUGGUGUAGCGGUGAAAUGCGCAGAUAUCAGGAGGAACACCGAUGGCGAAGGCAGGUCUCUGGGCUGUUACUGACGCUGAGGAGCGAAAGCAUGGGGAGCGAACAGGAUUAGAUACCCUGGUAGUCCAUGCCGUAAACGUUGGGCACUAGGUGUGGGGGAACAUUCCACGUUCU
rnacentral:rRNA from 1 species